UGCCGGGUGGUGUAAUGGUAACACGCCUGCCUCUGGAGCAGGAUACUCUAGGUUCGAGUCCUAGCCCGGCAGCCA
rnacentral:tRNA from 1 species